UCGGCUCCCAUCCCGCCCCAGCGAUUCAUUCCGCUCGCCGUGUCAUCGCCCGUUCCGAGUUCCGCCGCCGCCGCCCGUUGCGAGCUCCUCCGCCGUCGUCGCGGUCGACCGCCGGCCGGAGUCCUACGACCUGAUCCACCUAACGCGCGAGAACUCAUACAUCAGUUCUCCAUCAUUCGUGACUCCGUUCCAAGCUCCGCGAGGUCGCUCCGCUCCCGUCGCCGUCGCCCCCAGGUGCAAGCCGGACUGCCGGGCAACAUCGAUGGUUGAAAAGAUUCUCCAACUAGCUGCCCAUAUCACCUGCAAAAAUCACAUACCCCGCGCACCAAAUUGCUCAAUCCCUCCAAUUUCCUUAUCCAUCCUUCAAUCCCCACGGCCACAGAUCCAUUCCAUCGCAAUCGCUACACACUGCGUCCACAGAUCAAGAAGCGUAGUGCACAGGAGAAGGAGAAUCAAAUUGGUUUGCUUCUUUUAUUUUCCACGUAAACAUCUAUUUAUUUCAGUUUGUCGCAAUCAACUAACAUUGGAAUCGCAUUUGUGGCGUUCUACCACGCUGGCACCAGCUUCCUAUCCCUCUCCUUACUGUCUUCUUGGCUGUGAAUCUGGAAGCCCAAUUUUUGGACGAUGCAGGUUAGUCCCAAAUCAACCUUUCUCCUUAAUUAAUCCAAAUUUCUACACCACCAUGGUGUCGUGGAUUCAAUCUAGCUGUGGUCUGACUGCCUAUAAGGUUGUAGCAGCAGUUGCAUAUGUGCCGCUCGCCGCCGGCGGAUGGGGUCACGUGCAGAGGCAAUGGGAUGGGAAGCGACAUCACCGUGUGCUUCACCAUCUAGGGAGCCUGUAC